AGAAAACAGAGAUAGAACGCAAAAAGGGAAACGCAGUGCAAGAAAAGAAAAGAAGGGAAGAAAAAGAGGGGAGAAAAAUAAGGAUUUUCAACCCAAAUCAUCAAGUUUGAGGCAAUCUGGAGACUCGAGAACGCAGUUUUGAUUUAUUGGGAAGUGUGCUUGAAUUGUGAAUUUGAGAUACUAUAGGUGACGACAAAGCUAGUAGUUGACGAGUUUGCUGGAGUUGAUCUAUUAGUUGAGGUGAGCCGCCGCUUUGUUCGUGGAGGCUGCCAAAAGUGUCGUUAUCAUCUAUUUAUUAAUGUCUUUUCUUUUGGGGUUUUUAAACCCGAGUGUUUUGUAAUUCUCUUAGAUGCUCCAUGGUCUAGUGUGAGAUUUGGGCAGGAGUAAUUGAUCAAUAUUCUGAGACACUAGUUAUCCGUAAUUAAUUAUCAUAUUAUUUGGGUACU